rnacentral:rRNA from 1 species
GUGCCUACGGGACGCAGCAGUGAGGAAUAUUGGUCAAUGGGCGGGAGCCUGAACCAGCCAAGCCGCGUGAAGGAGAAGGCGCCAAGCGUCGUAAACUUCUUUUGUCGGGGAACAAAGGGCGCCACGUGUGGCGUUGUGAGUGUACCCGAAGAAAAAGCAUCGGCUAACUCCGUGCCAGCAGCCGCGGUAAUACGGAGGAUGCGAGCGUUAUCCGGAUUUAUUGGGUUUAAAGGGUGCGUAGGCGGGACGGUAAGUCAGCGGUAAAAAUGCGGAGCUCAACUCCGUCGAGCCGUUGAAACUGGCGU